AGACCCGGUCAGCCCUGGGAGCACAGGUGAAGGCAAUUCACAUGUGAGACAGGAGGGGGUGCAGCCUGGCUACACCUCUCUUAGACUUCAUUUAAGGGCUGACUGAAACUAGAGAAAGAUUUCUUUCUAGAGAUCCCUCCUUGGUGAAUCUCUCCCCUACAAACCUAGAAUCUUCUGAUAUGGCAAGCCUGCAAUUAUUGCUGCAUCUGAAGGUCAAUUCUUUGGCAUUACUGCAACACGUUCCAAACAGCUGAUGUCAGCAUUCCUUCCUAUGGAGCCUGACACUGGAUUGGUAACUGAAAUGAAGAAG